rnacentral:rRNA from 1 species
UACGGAGGGUGCAAGCGUUAUCCGGAUUUACUGGGUUUAAAGGGUGCGUAGGUGGUAUAAUAAGUCAGUGGUGAAAUCGUUCGGCUUAACCGAGCAGCUGCCAUUGAUACUGUUAUGCUUGAAUUAGGAUGAAGUAGGCGGAAUAAAACAUGUAGAGGUGAAAUUCUUAGAUAUGUUUUAGAACACCAAUUGCGAAGGCAGCUUACUAAGCCUAUAUUGACACUGAUGCACGAAAGCGUGGGGAUCAAACAGG